GUCAGGAUGGCCGAGCGGUCUAAGGCGCUGCGUUCAGGUCGCAGUCCAGUCUUCUGGGCGAGGGUUCGAAUCCCUCUUCUGACA
rfam:Daphnia magna strain Xinb3 scaffold02140, whole genome shotgun sequence.